rnacentral:rRNA from 1 species
UACGAAGGGGGCGAGCGUUGUUCGGAUUUACUGGGCGUAAAGGGUGCGUAGGCGGGUUUUUAAGUCAGGGGUGAAAUCCUGGAGCUCAACUCCAGAACUGCCUUUGAUACUGAAGAUCUUGAGUCCGGGAGAGGUGAGUGGAACUGCGAGUGUAGAGGUGAAAUUCGUAGAUAUUCGCAAGAACACCAGUGGCGAAGGCGGCUCACUGGCCCGGUACUGACGCUGAGGCACGAAAGCGUGGGGAGCAAACAGG